rnacentral:rRNA from 1 species
GAUGAACGCUGGCGGCGUGCCUAAUACAUGCAAGUCGAGCGAACACACGAUGAGCUUGCUCCUCUAACGUUAGCGGCGGACGGGUGAGUAACACGUACAUAACCUACCUAUAAUACUGGGAUAACUUCGUGAAACCGGAUCUACUACCACAUAAUAUAUUCAACCGCAUGGUUCAAUAGUUCAAGACAGCUUUGCCGUCUCUUUGAGAUGAUUCCGGGCCGGAUUAGCUAGUUGGUAAGGUAACGGCUUACCAAGGCGACGAUGCGUAGCCGACCUGAGAGGGUGAUCGGCCACACUGGAACUGAGACACGGUCCAGACUCCUACGGGAGGCAGCAGUAGGGAAUAUUCGGCAAUGGGCGAAAGCCUGACGGAGCAACGCCGCGUGAGUGAAGAAGGUCUUCGGAUUGUAAAGCCCUUUUAUUAGGGAAGAAAAAAUGUGUAAGUAACUAUGCAUGUCUUGACGGUACCUAAACAGAAAGCAACGGCUAACUACGUG